rnacentral:rRNA from 1 species
UACGUAGGGUGCAAGCGUUGUCCGGAAUUACUGGGCGUAAAGCGCGCGUAGGCGGACCUGCAAGUCGGGGGGUGAAAGCCCGAGGCUCAACCUCGGAACUGCCUUCGAUACUGCGGGUCUCGAGUCCGGGAGAAGUGAGUGGAAUUCCUAGUGUAGAGGUGAAAUUCGUAGAUAUUAGGAAGAACACCAGUGGCGAAGGCGGCUCACUGGCCCGGUACUGACGCUGAGGCGCGAAAGCGUGGGGAGCAAACAGG